rnacentral:misc_RNA from 1 species
GAUGAAGAACGCAGCGAAAUGCGAUAAGUAAUGUGAAUUGCAGAAUUCAGUGAAUCAUCGAAUCUUUGAACGCACAUUGCGCCCGCCAGUAUUCUGGCGGGCAUGCCUGUUCGAGCGUCAUUUCAACCAUCAAGCCCCCGGCUUGUGUUGGGGACCUGCGGCUGCCGCAGGCCCUGAAAAGCAGUGGCGGGCUCGCUGUCACACCGAGCGUAGUAGCAUACAUCUCGCUCUGGGCGUGCUGCGGGUUCCGGCCGUUAAACCACCUUCAUAACCCAAGGUUGACCUCGGAUCAGGUAGGAAGACCCGCUGAACUUAAGCAUAUCAAUAAGCGGAGG